AGAGCGAACGCUGGCGGCAUGCUUAACACAUGCAAGUCGCACGGUCAGCAAUGGCAGUGGCGGACGGGUGAGUAACGCGUAGGUAUCUAUCCACGGGUGGGGGACAACGUCGGGAAACUGACGCUAAUACCGCAUGAUACCCGAGGGUCAAAGGCGCAAGUCGCCUGUGGAGGAGCCUGCGUACGAUUAGCUUGUUGGUGGGGUAAAGGCCUACCAAGGCGACGAUCGUUAGCUGGUCUGAGAGGAUGAUCAGCCACAUUGGGACUGAGACACGGCCCAAACUCCUACGGGAGGCAGCAGUGGGGAAUAUUGGACAAUGGGCGUAAGCCUGAUCCAGCAAUGCCGCGUGUGUGAAGAAGGUCUUCGGAUUGUAAAGCACUUUCGGCGGGGACGAUGAUGACGGUACCCGCAGAAGAAGCCCGGCUAACUUCGUGCCAGCAGCCGC
rnacentral:rRNA from 1 species